AGCGAUUGCGUGAAGGAAGCUGGCCUGAGAGCAGAGGAGGAGGAGGAGGAAGAGGGAGGAGGCGGUAUUUUAAGGGAGGCGAGCCGAAAGGGUCAUUCUCAUUUUGGUGCUAGUGAAGAUGAGGUCGUGCGUGCUCCUCCUGGCCCUGCUGCAGUCUCUGGGAUGCACAGGCGCUCCGCUGCGCAACUAUGAGCUGCAGUCCAUGGCGGACAAGGGCCUUGGGGCGGCGGUGGCAGAGGUCAACUCCGUGUACGCCGUGGAUCAUCUUUACCGAGUGACUCGAGCCUCCGUCACGAAGGUGAUUCCCAGAGGCCUGGACACCGUCGACCUUAUGAUGCCGUUCGGCAUUAAAGAGACGGAGUGCGCAAAGGCUUCCGGGAAGGAUCCACAGACGUGCGCCUUCAGGCCUGGCUUCUUUGUGCCGUCCCUCUCCUGCUCCACCUGGGUGCGAAUCUCCUCCACCUCGACCCAGGUGGUCUCCCUCAGAUGCGGCCACGACAGCUCCAGCUCCAGCUCAGAGUCCAGCGAGGAGGUGAGGGCACAGCCUGGCGCUAUUUACACAGACAUACCCUGAAUAAAGGUGUUCUCUAGGAGGAGGCAAGAAUACGUCCCGUUUGCAAGCAGAGACCCAGCUCCGAAUGCAGCGCCCGUCCAGCCCGGACGCUUCUUCCAAAACCGAGCCGUUGACGUCCAACCCAGAGGAGACACCUUUAGCAACUUCAUGGUGUGACAGUCCAGCUCACUCUAGACACAUUCAUGGUGCUGAUCAGGACAGAAACUUGAAUUAAAAUGACUUUUAACGCUA